UACGGAAGGGGCGAGCGUUGUUCGGAAUUACUGGGCGUAAAGAGCGCGUAGGCGGCUUACCAAGUUGGGGGUCAAAUCCCGGAGCUCAACUCCGGAACUGCCUUCAAAACUGGUAGUCUCGAGUCCGGAAGAGGGGCGUGGAAUUCCCAGUGUAGAGGUGAAAUUCGUAGAUAUUGGGAAGAACACCGGUGGCGAAGGCGGCGCCCUGGUCCGGUACUGACGCUGAGGCGCGAAAGCGUGGGGAGCAAACAGG
rnacentral:rRNA from 1 species